rnacentral:tRNA from 1 species
GCCAGCGUAGCUCAGUGGUAGAGCAGCGGUUUCGUAAACCGUCGGUCAAGAGUUCGACUCUCUUCGCUGGCU